rnacentral:rRNA from 1 species
UCGAGAAUCUUCCACAAUGGACGAAAGUCUGAUGGAGCGACGCCGCGUGAUGGAUGAAGUCCUUACGGAUGUAAACAUCUUUUAUGAGGGAAGAAAUUUUUGACGGUACCUCAUGAAUAAGAGGCUCCUAACUUCGUGCCAGCAGGAGCGGUAAUACGAAGGCCUCGAGCGUUAUCCGGAAUUAUUGGGCGUAAAGUGUGCGUAGGCGGCAUUGUUAGUCGAGUGUUAAAUCUCCGGGCUCAACCUGGAAAUCGCAUUCGAAACGGCAAAGCUUGAGAGGAGAAGAGGUGAACAGAACUCAUGGUGUAGGGGUGAAAUCCGUUGAUAUCAUGGGGAAUACCAAAAGCGAAGGCAGUUCACUGGUCUCUUUCUGACGCUGAGGCACGAAAGCGUGGGUAGC